rnacentral:lncRNA from 1 species
CCACACGCUCACAGGAAGUCACGCCCACACACUCACACACACGCUCACAGGGCAGUCACGCCCACACGCUCACACACACGCUCACAGGAAGUCACACCCACACGCUCACAGGAAGUCACGCCCACACGCUCACACACACGCUCACAGGGAGUCACGCCCACACGCUCACACACACGCUCACAGGGAGUCACGCCCACACACUCACAGGAAGUCACGCCCACACGCUCACACACACGCUCACAGGGAGUCACGCCCACACGCUCACACACGCUCACAGGGAGUCACGCCCACACGCUCACACACGCUCACAGGGCAGUCACGCCCACACGCUCACACACACGCUCACAGGAAGUCACGCCCACACACUCACAGGAAGUCACGCCCACACACUCACACACACGCUCACAGGGAGUCACGCCCACACGCUCACACACACGCUCACAGGAAGUCACGCCCACACGCUCACGGGGUAGUCAUGCACACACGCUCACACACACACUCACGGGGUAGUCACGCACACACGCUCACGGGGUAGUCAUGCACACACGCUCACACACACACUCAUGGGGUAGUCACGCACACACGCUCACACACUCAGACACAGGCUCAGAUGUGAUCACAAGGGCACCCUGGCAGCCCACCCACAUGCUCACAUGUAACCACACGGGUCCGUGCACACUCAUGCUACACCCCUGGUGCUCUGCCCACCAGUGGUGCCCUCUGCCUGAGUCCCCCUUGCCCAUCUUUGCAGGCCAUGUGCUAGAGGUCACCGCCACCCUCCCCAGGCCCUGCCAUGCUGCAGGGUAGUCAUCAAUCGAUGGCGUCCAAAGGGCAGGGCUGCUUGUUUGAGAUCAGAACUCAGUUUCAAACAGCUGACCGCUCUGUCCCUCUCGAGGCAGGGGCACCAUAUGCAAACAUCUGCCUCAGCAAGGC